CCGACGUUGAAACAAUCGAUCUUACCCCACUUGGUGGCUCACCCAACUUGCCCCAGCCAUCUUACCCCGACACCAGCGUGUUCGAAACCCCCAACAAUAAAACCCAAGGUUAUGAAGUGAUGUCACAAUCAUCCAUUGUUCCCAUCACAAAGAUGAUGGACAUUAUUGUCAACCUACAGACGCAACUCACCCAUUUAUUGCACAUCACAAGUGAAAACGAAAUCGAGAGACAAAAACUGAAACAAGAAAAUGAAUUUUUUAAAGAACAACUUGAGAAAAAGGACGACGCCCCCGACCCGCCCACGUACGCUGAUGUCCUCCAAGGUUUGUGAACAUCAAUGAAAAAAUCAAAAUCGAUCGAAUCCUGAAACACAUGAUGUCACAACGAUGUCACGCGAUAUCUCUAUUAUGAGGUCACAAACACUCACGUGGCCUCUCGACCAAUCACAGCCUCCCCCCUUGCCUUCAAAGGCGAGGAGGUCAACCGGGUUCUGAUGAUGUCAUAAUUGAUGACAUCAUCGCCAGAGGGGGUUUCCCGGAUAGGGGAUGCACCAAGCGGAUCUUGUGGUGUAUCAGGGCUGAGGAAACCCCGUUAGUUUGGUGCAACUUAGUGAAUUUUUUAUCUUUGUUUGUUUUGUAUCAAUCAGCCUUUGUCGUCCCCCUUUCAUUGUGACAUCACUAUGGGCAUUGUGAGGGAGCGCUUUUCUUAUCAAACAAAAAUGAAUUUCUAUUAAUUUUAUCGUCGUUUUGAUUUUAAACGUUUUAUUUUCGUUUUAAAUCGAAGUUGCCAUGGUUACUCGAUGAUCAUUAUUGCGCAAUAGUUUUACCCACAAUGCAAUUUGCUGCGUUCUGUAUAUUUUGUUCCGAAAAUCAAAUUUUUGUUUUUUUGCUGAAAUCCUGAAAUAUUAAGAUUUCUAUGCCUCAGCCUUUAAAACAAACGUGACGUCAUUUCCGCUUUUUUUCGCGCACGAUUCCGCUAUCGGGACUACGCUUGGCUUGUUGAAAAUAAUAAAACUUAAAUUAUUAAUUUAAA